rnacentral:rRNA from 1 species
AGAGUUUGAUCCUGGCUCUGGAUAAACGCUAGCGGCAGGCCUAAUACAUGCAAGUCGAACGGUGUCUUCGGACAUAGUGGCGCACGGGUGCGUAACACGUAUGCAACCUACCUUACAUUGGGGGAUAGCCUUUCGAAAGGGAGAUUAAUACCGCAUAAGACAGUAACUGGGCAUCCAGUAGCUGUUAAAGAUUUAUCGAUGUAAGAUGGGCAUGCGACCAAUUAGUUAGUUGGCGAGGUAACGGCUCACCAAGACUAUGAUUGGUAGGGGAACUGAGAGGUCAAUCCCCCACACUGGCACUGAGAUACGGGCCAGACUCCUACGGGAGGCAGCAGUAGGGAAUAUUGGGCAAUGGACGCAAGUCUGACCCAGCCAUGCCGCGUGCAGGAUGAAGGCGUUAUGCGUCGUAAACUGCUUUUAUACAGGAAGAAACGACUCUUGCGAGAGGCAUUGACGGUACUGUAUGAAUAAGCACCGGCUAACUCCGUGCCAGCAGCCGCGGUAAUACGGAGGGUGCAAGCGUUGUCCGGAUUUAUUGGGUUUAAAGGGUGCGCAGGUGGUUUAUUAAGUCAGUGGUGAAAGACGGUCGCUCAACGAUUGCAGUGCCAUUGAAACUAGUAGACUUGAGUAAAGUAGAGGUGGGCGGAAUUGAUAGUGUAGCGGUGAAAUGCAUAGAUAUUAUCAAGAACUCCAAUUGCGUAGGCAGCUCACUUGGCUUUUACUGACACUCAUGCACGAAAGUGUGGGUAUCAAACAGGAUUAGAUACCCUGGUAGUCCACACUGUAAACGAUGAUAACUAGGUGUCGGCCGAAUCUGGUCGGUGCCACAGCGAAAGCGUUAAGUUAUCCACCUGGGGAGUACGCCGGCAACGGUGAAACUCAAAGGAAUUGACGGGGGUCCGCACAAG